rnacentral:tRNA from 1 species
GCGGCUGUGCCCGAGAGGCCCAAGGGUGGUGUCUGCAAAACACUAAUUCGUAGGUUCGAAUCCUACCAGUCGCU